GCUGGGCAUGGUGGCUCAUGCCUGUAAUCCCAGCACUUUGGGAAGCUGAGGCGGGUGGAUCACCUGAGGUCAGGAGUUUGAGACCAGCCUGCCCUACAUGGUGAAACCCCGUCUCUA
ensembl:misc_RNA Metazoa_SRP Metazoan signal recognition particle RNA